GACGAACGCUGGCGGCGUGCUUAACACAUGCAAGUCGAACGGAAAGGCCCUGCUUUUGUGGGUUGCUCGAGUGGCGCACGGGUGAGUAACACGUGAGUAACCUGCCCUUGACAUUGGGAUAACUUCAGGAAACUGGGGCUAAUACCGGAUAGGAGCUCCUGCUGCAUGGUGGGGGUUGGAAAGUUUCGGCGGUUGGGGAUGGACUCGCGGCUUAUCAGCUUGUUGGUGGGGUAGUGGCUUACCAAGGCUUUGACGGGUAGCCGGCCUGAGAGGGUGACCGGCCACAUUGGGACUGAGAUACGGCCCAGACUCCUACGGGAGGCAGCAGUGGGGAAUAUUGCACAAUGGGCGGAAGCCUGAUGCAGCAACACCGCGUGCGGGAUGACGGCCUUCGGGUUGUAAACCGCUUUCGCCUGUGACGAAGCGUGAGUGACGGUAAUGGGUAAAGAAGCACCGGCUAACUACGUG
rnacentral:rRNA from 1 species